UUGCCAUCGGAUGUGCCCAGAUGGGAUUAGCUAGUAGGUGGGGUAAAGGGCUCACCUAGGCGACGAUCCCUAGCUGGUCUGAGAGGAUGACCAGCCACACUGGAACUGAGACACGGUCCAGACUCCUACGGGAGGCAGCAUG
rnacentral:rRNA from 1 species